rnacentral:rRNA from 1 species
UAGGGAAUCUUCGGCAAUGGACGAAAGUCUGACCGAGCAACGCCGCGUGAGUGAAGAAGGUUUUCGGAUCGUAAAACUCUGUUGUUAGAGAAGAACAAGGACGUUAGUAACUGAACGUCCCCUGACGGUAUCUAACCAGAAAGCCACGGCUAACUACGUGCCAGCAGCCGCGGUAAUACGUAGGUGGCAAGCGUUGUCCGGAUUUAUUGGGCGUAAAGCGAGCGCAGGCGGUUUCUUAAGUCUGAUGUGAAAGCCCCCGGCUCAACCGGGGAGGGUCAUUGGAAACUGGGAGACUUGAGUGCAGAAGAGGAGAGUGGAAUUCCAUGUGUAGCGGUGAAAUGCGUAGAUAUAUGGAGGAACACCAGUGGCGAAGGCGGCUCUCUGGUCUGUAACUGACGCUGAGGCUCGAAAGCGUCGGGAGCAAACAGG